rnacentral:rRNA from 1 species
UACGGAGGGUGCAAGCGUUAUCCGGAUUUACUGGGUUUAAAGGGUGCGUAGGUGGGCAGGUAAGUCAGUGGUGAAAUCUCCGGGCUUAACCCGGAAACUGCCAUUGAUACUAUCUGUCUUGAAUAUCCUGGAGGUAAGCGGAAUAUGUCAUGUAGCGGUGAAAUGCUUAGAUAUGACAUAGAACACCCAUUGCGAAGGCAGCUUACUACGGGAUUAUUGACACUGAGGCACGAAAGCGUGGGGAUCAAACAGG